CUCGGAGUGGUGCUUGGACGAGCUUGUGAAGAUUAUGGAGGCCGCCAAGGACAAGCGUGCACACCACCAGACUUUCCCCGUUUUCUACAAAGUAUCCCCCGACGAAGUCUCCGACCAGUCAUCCGGCUGCUACAAGGAAGACUUCGAUCUGCACAAGAGAAAGUUCAGCUACGAAAGAGUGGACAAUUGGCGCCACGCGCUUACUUCCAUUGCCGAUGUUUCCGGCUGGGAAAUCGCUCCUAAUGGCCACAGGUUAACAUUAAUUACUGUUCCAUUUUUUUUUAGGGUUGGAUUGAAAUUUGGUUAUCGAUUUUUGUAAAUAUAAUGUCAUCAAGUGCAGAUCGGAAGCAGAAAUGGUUGAGACUAUAGCCAAUAGCAUAGUAUUGAAGGUCCACCAGCUUGCUCGGUUCAAAUCCGAAUCCGAGUCGAAUCAGAGUGAACGGCCGGCGUUUGUUCCUGCUUUCCGAGCGCCGGAGGGAGCAUUAGAUGAUGAUGAUGAGCAACCUUCUUCAUCCUCUGUAAGUACAACACACUCUAACAUAUCUAUUAUUAACUUAUGUAUAUCAUCAUUAAUUGAUCUAUCAGUUAAUGUUUUGCUGUUGCUACUUUGUUUUGGUGCGAAUUAGCUAGAUGAUCAAGUACAUUACUUCCUAAUUAAGUUUACUAAAACGACCAGAUGUCGACUUUGUGUUCUGUUCCAGAUUGAGGCAGUAUAUCUAUAGAUCACUAUAUAACUUUUCUUUUGACCAAAGAAAAAUAUGUAUUAUGACUUCUCUCUUCAACCCUAAUUCUACUUUUUACCUCCAGCUGCUGAUGGUAGGGUUAGGUUGAGACCACAUAUAUAUAUAUAUAUAUAUUUAAUUGUUACCGACUCAUCAUUUUAAUUUAGUGACAGACCACAUAAUAUUCACAAAUCCAGCCCUAGUUACAAAUUUAAUUUUGGAGUAGUCAGCGCAGGAUUGAUGAUGGUAGCCAGACUGAACUGGUACUUGUCUCAUUGUCACAUGAACAGGACGACAUUACCAUUGAGCAAAAGCAGGAGGAGGAGACUUCAAAACAUGAUCAAGACGAUGAAGACGACGAUUCUGAUUACAAGAGGAGGUUAUGGAUGUCUAGGAUCUGUACGAACAGAAACAGCACCAACUGCAACAACAACAACAACAACAACAAGAACAGCAGCAGCAGCAACAACAACAACAACAACAACAACGAUCAUACUCGUCGCGAUCAAGAAGAUGAUGAGCAGAAACUGAAAUACAUAAAGCCGACAAUCUCACCUGAUGGCGAGAAGACAGUUCGUAUCCCCAAGACCAUUGCCGAAGAAGAAAUAAAGAAGUACAGGGACCAUUCUGUAGUUGCGCAGCAGUUAUCCGGGCGUCAAAACAUAACCAUCAUUCUCAACGAAGCUAAUAGGAUAUGGAGUAACAAAAUAGUAGCGGUUGAAGAAGUAGCAACAACAAGAAAUAAAGGAUUGUCAUCGUACAUAUUCACCUUCUCCAGCCAAGACCUCCGUCACUUGGUUGUGGAAGCAUCUCCAUGGUGCAUCGCCAACGCCACUUUCGUGAUGAGGAAAUGGCAGCCGAACGUGCAGCUCUCCGACCUGCUGGACCGGUCGACCAUUCCCGUGUGGGUCCGGCUGGUUGGGGUUCCUGUGGAGUACAUGACCGCGAAAGGGCUGAGCUACGUAGCCAGCGCGCUUGGGAAGCCGGUUUACAUGGACAGAGCUACUGCGAACCGAACUCAGCUUGCAUUUGCCAAAGUUUGUGUGGAGAUGAAAGUGAGGAGAGAGGGGAAUUUGACGAGUACGAUAGCGGUUGCCAUUGGGGGGGAGGAGGAGGAAGAGGAUAAUAAUGAAGGAGAAGUUGUGGUGGUAGUUGUGAGGGUCUUCUACCAAUGGAGGACUUGUAUGUGCUGCAUUAUUAAUCCUUCCCACAAGGCGACGACCAAGACUUGUUCUUCCUAAAUUAAUUAAUUAAAAGAAGACGACUACAUAUAUACAGAAAGAAGACGACUUUCAUCCCAAGAGAGUUAUUACCGAGUCUGCAUGGUUUGUUUUGAGCAUGGACAAUAUUAAAUGGAAUAUGGUAUGUCUUAUCGGGAAAUUUCAUCCCUUUAUUUAGUUUGCUUGGUUAUGAUUUUGUUGGUAUUAAUCAAACCGUAGACUUUUCUGCUUGCAACAGUUGAGUGGUCCCCAGGCUCCAGCCAUGAAAGCCUCGCACAUUUUCCUGUCGGCUUCUUUUGAAAUUUCUGCCUAUUUAGUCUAAGAGUAGUAUAUUUAAAUUUCAUCCUUCCGCGAACAAACUGACUUUAAAUGAGUCAGCAAAAAUAAAUGCUACUUCUAAUUUUUAAAUUAUUUUUUAAUUAGUAAAUAAUAUGCCC
rnacentral:lncRNA from 1 species